GGGCCCGCACAAGCGGUGGAGCAUGUGGUUUAAUUCGAUGCAACGCGAAGAACCUUACCAGGUCUUGACAUCCUCGGAACUUGGCAGAGAUGCCUUGGUGCCUUCGGGAGCCGAGUGACAGGUGCUGCAUGGCCGUCGUCAGCUCGUGUCGUGAGAUGUUGGGUUAAGUCCCGUAACGAGCGCAACCCUUGUCCUUAGUUGCCAGCACGUCAUGGUGGGAACUCUAGGGAGACUGCCGGUGACAAACCGGAGGAAGGUGGGGACGACGUCAGGUCAUCAUGGCCCUUACGACCUGGGCUACACACGUGCUACAAUGGCUGGUACAGAGGGUUGCGAAGUCGCGAGGCGAAGCUAAUCCCAUAAACCGUGGCUCAGUUCAGAUCGUAGGCUGCAACUCGCCUACGUGAAGGAGGAAUCGCUAGUAAUCG
rnacentral:rRNA from 1 species